GGGUUGUGAGGUUAAGCGACCAAGCGUACACGGUGGAUGCCCUGGCAGUCAGAGGCGAUGAAGGACGUGCUAAUCUGCGAAAAGCGCCGGCGAGGUGAUAUGAACCCUUGACCCGGCGAUGUCCGAAUGGGGAAACCCAGUGUGACUCGUCACACUAUCAUUAACUGAAUCCAUAGGUUAAUGAGGCGAACCGGGGGAACUGAAACAUCUAAGUACCCCGAGGAAAAGAAAUCAACCGAGAUUCCCCCAGUAGCGGCGAGCGAACGGGGAGGAGCCCAGAGCCUGAAUCAGCAGGUGUGUUAGUGGAAGUGUCUGGAAAGGCACGCGAUACAGGGUGAAAGCCCCGUACACGAAAAUGCACCUGGUGUGAGCUCGAUGAGUAGGGCGGGACACGUGGUAUCCUGUCUGAAUAUGGGGGGACCAUCCUCCAAGGCUAAAUACUCCUGACUGACCGAUAGUGAACCAGUACCGUGAGGGAAAGGCGAAAAGAACCCCGGCGAGGGGAGUGAAAAAGAACCUGAAACCGUGUACGUACAAGCAGUGGGAGCACAGGUUUACCUGUGUGACUGCGUACCUUUUGUAUAAUGGGUCAGCGACUUAUAUUCUGUAGCAAGGUUAACCGAAUAGGGGAGCCGGAGGGAAACCGAGUCUUAAUUGGGCGUUAAGUUGCAGGGUAUAGACCCGAAACCCGGUGAUCUAGCCAUGGGCAGGUUGAAGGUUGGGUAACACUAACUGGAGGACCGAACCGACUAAUGUUGAAAAAUUAGCGGAUGACCUGUGGCUGGGGGUGAAAGGCCAAUCAAACCGGGAGAUAGCUGGUUCUCCCCGAAAGCUAUUUAGGUAGCGCCUCGUGAACUCAUCUCCGGGGGUAGAGCACUGUUUCGGCUAGGGGGCCAUCCCGGCUUACCAACCCGAUGCAAACUGCGAAUACCGGAGAAUGUUAUCACGGGAGACACACGGCGGGUGCUAACGUCCGUCGUGAAGAGGGAAACAACCCAGACCGCCAGCUAAGGUCCCAAAGUCAUGGUUAAGUGGGAAACGAUGUGGGAAGGCCCAGACAGCCAGGAUGUUGGCUUAGAAGCAGCCAUCAUUUAAAGAAAGCGUAAUAGCUCACUGGUCGAGUCGGCCUGCGCGGAAGAUGUAACGGGGCUAAACCAUGCACCGAAGCUGCGGCAGCGGCACGCAAGUGUUGUUGGGUAGGGGAGCGUUCUGUAAGCCGUUGAAGGUGGCCUGUGAGGGUUGCUGGAGGUAUCAGAAGUGCGAAUGCUGACAUAAGUAACGAUAAAGCGGGUGAAAAGCCCGCUCGCCGGAAGACCAAGGGUUCCUGUCCAACGUUAAUCGGGGCAGGGUGAGUCGACCCCUAAGGCGAGGCCGAAAGGCGUAGUCGAUGGGAAACGGGUUAAUAUUCCCGUACUUGGUGUUACUGCGAAGGGGGGACGGAGAAGGCUAUGUUGGCCGGGCGACGGUUGUCCCGGUUUAAGCGUGUAGGCUGGUUUUCCAGGCAAAUCCGGAAAAUCAAGGCUGAGGCGUGACGACGAGGCACCACGGUGCUGAAGCAACAAAUGCCCUGCUUCCAGGAAAAGCCUCUAAGCGUCAGGUAACAUCAAAUCGUACCCCAAACCGACACAGGUGGUCAGGUAGAGAAUACCAAGGCGCUUGAGAGAACUCGGGUGAAGGAACUAGGCAAAAUGGUGCCGUAACUUCGGGAGAAGGCACGCUGACAUGUAGGUGAAGCGGUUUACCCGUGGAGCUGAAGUCAGUCGAAGAUACCAGCUGGCUGCAACUGUUUAUUAAAAACACAGCACUGUGCAAACACGAAAGUGGACGUAUACGGUGUGACGCCUGCCCGGUGCCGGAAGGUUAAUUGAUGGGGUCAGCGCAAGCGAAGCUCCUGAUCGAAGCCCCGGUAAACGGCGGCCGUAACUAUAACGGUCCUAAGGUAGCGAAAUUCCUUGUCGGGUAAGUUCCGACCUGCACGAAUGGCGUAAUGAUGGCCAGGCUGUCUCCACCCGAGACUCAGUGAAAUUGAACUCGCUGUGAAGAUGCAGUGUACCCGCGGCAAGACGGAAAGACCCCGUGAACCUUUACUAUAGCUUGACACUGAACACUGGUCCUUGAUGUGCAGGAUAGGUGGGAGGCUUUGAAGCGUGGACGCCAGUCUGCGUGGAGCCGUCCUUGAAAUACCACCCUUUAAUGGCUGGUGUUCUAACGUGGGCCCCUGACCGGGGUUGCAGACAGUGUCUGGUGGGUAGUUUGACUGGGGCGGUCUCCUCCCAAAGAGUAACGGAGGAGCACGAAGGUUGGCUAAUCCUGGUCGGACAUCAGGAGGUUAGUGCAAUGGCAUAAGCCAGCUUGACUGCGAGCGUGACGGCGCGAGCAGGUGCGAAAGCAGGUCAUAGUGAUCCGGUGGUUCUGAAUGGAAGGGCCAUCGCUCAACGGAUAAAAGGUACUCCGGGGAUAACAGGCUGAUACCGCCCAAGAGUUCAUAUCGACGGCGGUGUUUGGCACCUCGAUGUCGGCUCAUCACAUCCUGGGGCUGAAGUAGGUCCCAAGGGUAUGGCUGUUCGCCAUUUAAAGUGGUACGCGAGCUGGGUUUAGAACGUCGUGAGACAGUUCGGUCCCUAUCUGCCGUGGGCGCUGGAAGAUUGAGGGGGGCUGCUCCUAGUACGAGAGGACCGGAGUGGACGCAUCACUGGUGUUCGGGUUGUCAUGCCAAUGGCACUGCCCGGUAGCUAAAUGCGGAAGAGAUAAGUGCUGAAAGCAUCUAAGCACGAAACUUGCCCCGAGAUGAAUCUUCCCUGAGACUUUAAGUCUCCUGAAGGAACGUUGAAGACGACGACGUUGAUAGGCCGGGUGUGUAAGCGCAGCGAUGCGUUGAGCUAACCGGUACUAAUGAACCGUGAGGCUUAACCUUACAACGCCGAAG
rnacentral:rRNA from 1 species